UUUCCAAAAGUCUGGUGGGAUUUUAAUUC
rnacentral:piRNA from 1 species